GGUUUUGUGGCUCAGUGGUAGAGCUCUCUCCUAACAUGCGAGGGGCUCUGGGUUCAAUCCUCAGCACCA
rnacentral:tRNA from 1 species